GAUUAACGCUGGCGGCGUGCCUAACACAUGCAAGUCGAGCGGCAGCGAGUUUUACACUGAAUUCUGGAAGCUUCUAGUUGAAAGAGAAGAUUUAUUCAAGAAUUUUGUGUAAAAUGUCGGCGAGCGGCGGACGGCUGAGUAACGCGUGGGAACGUACCCCAAAGUGAGGGAUAACGCAUCGAAAGGUGUGCUAAUACCGCAUAUGGUCUUCGGAUUAAAGCCUUCGGGCGCUUUGGGGACGGCCUGCGUAAGAUUAGAUAGUUGGUGGGGUAAUGGCCUACCAGAUCGACAAUCGUUAACUGGUUAGUGAGGCUGAGCACUCAGACUGAAACUGAGACACAGUCCAGACUCCUACGGGAUGCAGCAGUGAGUGAUCGUGCACAGUGGGGGGAAUCCUGAUGGAGCAACGCCGCGUGCAGGAUGAAGGCCUUCGGGUUGUAAACUGCUUUUAUAAGUGAGGAUUAUGACAGUAACUAAUGAAUAAGGAUCGGCUAACUACGUG
rnacentral:rRNA from 1 species